GCAGACGGCCGGGCGGCCGCUCCCGACCGCGGCGAGGCCGUGGUGGGAGAGGAAAGUCCGGGCUCCACGGAAACACGGUGCCGGGUAACGCCCGGCGGAGGCGACUCCAGGGACAGUGCCACAGAAAGCAAACCGCCCACCGGCCCGAGCGGCUCGGCGGGUCAGGGUGAAAGGGUGCGGUAAGAGCGCACCGCCCGGCCGGUAACGGUCGGGGCACGGUAAACCCCACCGGGAGCAAGACCGAGAAGGAGCGACCGGGGCCGGCCUGAUGGCGCGGCCCGGCCCGGUUUCCGGGGUGUCGCUCGGGUAGGUCGCACGAGGCGGUCGGCAACGCCCGCCCCAGAUGAAUGGUCGCCGCCCCUGGGCCACCAGGGCGCACAGAACCCGGCUUACAGGCCGUCUGCCCAC
rnacentral:RNase_P_RNA from 1 species